CUCAGAAUUAUAUAAAUACAUUCUCAGAACAAAACUUAGCCUUAAGUAGCUCUGCCAAGAUGACAGACUCUUUGUCCAAGCCAAGGUUUAUUCUUUCUAGGUGACAUAGUUUCUUUCCAUCUCCAUAUCCACUUCUUCCCUUUCCUUUUACUUUUAAGCUGAAGAAAAACUUUUUUGCUAAAAAGGAGAAGGAUAAAUCUGUAGUAGCUCCCACAAAAAUGCACAUGUAGAUGACACAGCAUACUUUCUGAAGGAGAAAAGAUCAUUAUUUGGGUACUAUCAAAAUUCAUACAGCUCUCACUCCCCUCUCAGUCUAUUAUAUAUUAAUGUCUGUCUCUCCUCACUAUAAUAGGCCCAGCUCUGAUCUUAAGUAUGUUCCUCACAAAUGUAUAUGCUCAUAUGUACCAAAUACACAAUUUUUAUGGAGGCACAAUUUGUAGUAGCUCCACACUACAAACAGCCCAAAUGUCCAUCAUUACUGCACAGCAAUGAAAAUUAAUAAACUACAGUACACAAAGCAACAUGGAUGAAUUCCAGAAGUAUAAUGUUGACAAAAGAAACCAGGCACAGC
rnacentral:lncRNA from 1 species